rfam:Asian citrus Psyllid, Diaphorina citri - Florida Strain, whole genome shotgun sequence.
GCUUAGGGGGUAGCACGACUGCCUUGUAAGCACUAGGUCCCGGGUUCGAUUCCCGGCCGGGGCG